rnacentral:rRNA from 1 species
AGUGAACGCUGGCGGUAGGCCUAACACAUGCAAGUCGAACGGCAGCACAGUAAGAGCUUGCUCUUACGGGUGGCGAGUGGCGGACGGGUGAGGAAUACAUCGGAAUCUACUUUUUCGUGGGGGAUAACGUAGGGAAACUCACGCUAAUACCGCAUACGACCUACGGGUGAAAGCAGGGGAUCUUCGGACCUUGCGCGAUUGAAUGAGCCGAUGUCGGAUUAGCUAGUUGGCGGGGUAAAGGCCCACCAAGGCGACGAUCCGUAGCUGGUCUGAGAGGAUGAUCAGCCACACUGGAACUGAGACACGGUCCAGACUCCUACGGGAGGCAGCAGUGGGGAAUAUUGGACAAUGGGCGCAAGCCUGAUCCAGCCAUACCGCGUGGGUGAAGAAGGCCUUCGGGUUGGAAAGCCCUGUUGUUGGGAAAGAAAAGCAGCAGGUUAAUACCCCGCUGUUCUGACGGUACCCAAAGAAUAAGCACCGGCUAACUUCGUG